rnacentral:rRNA from 1 species
GAAGUGGGGAUGACGUCAAAUCAUCAUGCCCCUUAUGACCUGGGCUACACACGUGCUACAAUGGGCGGUACAAAGGGCGUGCGAACCCGCGAGGGGGAGCGAAUCCCAAAAAGCCCGACUCUCAGUUCGGAUUGCAGGCUGCAACCCGCCUGCAUGAAGCCGGAAUCGCUAGUAAUCGCGGAUCAGCAUGCCGCGGUGAAUACGUUCCCGGGCCUU